UGUAAGCUGGGACUUCCUAUCAGCAGCCUGUGGCUUCCACGGAGACCCACCACGCUGAAUGCCUUCAGCCCUGGUUCCUUGGGCCACGUGAUGGCUGACGCAGGGGCACUCGUAUUUCCCUUCUUUGCAUAGUGUGUGCUGUCUCGAUGCCCAGUUCUGAUGCGGCUGAAUGACCCACUGCUCUAGGCUGAGAAAUGACCAUGGGAGUGGGCUGCAGCUGCACAGCUCCCUGAUUUCGGAUUAUUCUGGUAUUGAUUCCGUGCCGCCAGCUCUCUCCUCACUGGGCUUGCUCGGGGAGAAAGUCCUGGAGAACUUCUUUCUCACCUUUGCCCCGCCAGCUUCCCACCCGGGUGCAGGGAGCUCUGAAUCCUCUUCAGUUCUACACACCUUCCCAGGCCCUCAUCCCUGGGUCAUCGCAUUUUUCUCUGGAUAACACUUUCAUGGGACAACAACCCAUCUGCAAGCUGAAGCUCUCUGGCUUCAACUCAGCUGAAUACUUUGCUAAAAUCGCAAUGAUUGUUUCGGCUGGCGGCAAUCCAUUGAAGACGGGCUGUAAAGGCAACUCAAAUGUCUUGGGAAGCACUGACCCAGCAUCAUCACAGGGAAGGCACUGAGAAGCAUCAGCACUACAGCAUCAGAAACAAUACGAAGAGCUUUACCAUUUGUAAUGUGUUAUACUGGGUUGAACAGUGUCCCUCCAAAACUCACGUCUAUCCAGAACCUCAGAAUGUGACCUUAUUUGAAAAUAGGGUCUUUGUGGAAGUAAUUAGUUAAGAUGAAGUCAUACUGGAUCAGGGCGAUAUGAAUCCAAUAUCACCGGUAUCCUUAUAAGAAGAGGAGAUUCGGACACAGAGACAGAGACACCCGAAAGAGAUGCCAUGUGAAGAUGGAGGCAGAGAUUGGAGCGAAGCAUCUAGAAGCCAAGGAACACCGGCAACCACCGGUGCCGGCAAGGAUUGCCGGCAACCACCAGAGCCUGGAGAGGGGCAUGGAGCAGAAUCUCCCUCGGACCCCCCAGAAGGGACGAACCCUGGCAAUACAUGGCAUUUUGGAUUUUUAGCCUGCA